UACGUAGGGUGCGAGCGUUAAUCGGAAUUACUGGGCGUAAAGCGUGCGUAGGCGGUUCGUUAAGUUCGUCGUGAAAGCCCCGGGCCCAACCUGGGAAUGGCGAUGGAAACUGGCGGGCUGGAGUAUGGCAGAGGGGGGUGGAAUUCCGCGUGUAGCAGUGAAAUGCGUAGAGAUGCGGAGGAACACCGAUGGCGAAGGCAGCCCCCUGGGCCAAUACUGACGCUCAGGCACGAAAGCGUGGGGAGCAAACAGG
rnacentral:rRNA from 1 species